rnacentral:rRNA from 1 species
UACGGAGGGGACUAGCGUUGUUCGGAAUUACUGGGCGUAAAGCGCACGUAGGCGGAUUUGUAAGUCAGGGGUGAAAUCCCGGGGCUCAACCUCGGAACUGCCUUUGAUACUGCAAAUCUCGAGUCCGGAAGAGGUGGAGUGGAAUUCCUAGUGUAGAGGUGAAGUUCGUAGAUAUUAGGAAGAACACCAGUGGCGAAGGCGGCUCACUGGUCCGGUACUGACGCUGAGGUGCGAAAGCGUGGGGAGCAAACGGGG